CACUGUGUUCUGGAUUACCUGUCAUUGAGAGCAAGCACCUAUCACUUCAGCAUUACAACAAAGGAGAAAUGGAAGGCUGCCUUCUCUGCUCCCAGUCAGCCAACUCUGUGCAUUUUCUGGAAUUCAGAUGGGCCAUCUGCUACCCACACAUUCAAGAAGAAAGCCACACAAAAAAGGCAGCAAGGAUGAUGUUUUCCCAUGCAAGCUGAAGUGACUCUCACUUUUGAGCUCUUAGAAGAAUAAACAACCUUCUGCAGAUGCAGAAGAAAGGCAGAGAAAUAUUAGAUGACUUACCCACAGUCUGCAGCAGGUUUGAACCCCUCUGGUGAGCAGCAUCACAAAUGUGAUACAGACCUUCAGUAAUUACUGAAGCAGCAGUUUGUCACAAGCUGCCUGCAGCACUGAUGGACAAUCUGCUGGUGCUCAUGGAAAUUGAGACCAGCCCCAGCCGUGUCUGUUGCCAGCAGGACAGUGCAGUGUCCCCACUCUGCUGAGGUACCAGUGUGUGGUGAGGCACACAGAUGGCAUCCUGGGAUGCUAAUGUGCAUGUCAUGUUGUGCUAGUAUGCCACAAAGAUUUUGGAGGGUAGAAUAGGGAGAAUUUGUUAUUUUCUUUAGAAACAGCUUUUCUCCUCCAUCGUCCCUUGAGAUCUGCUCCUCACAACAAGCUUGGGGUGCACUGUGCACUUCUCUCCCUUACACACAAAGGCUCUGCCCCUUUUCAGAAAGGCUUCCAGAAGGACACUGACAGUACUGAACCCCACUCAGUCUGCUUGCUUUUAGCAGCCCUACUCGCCUGCCCUGCAAGAACAGAGAGGAAAUUUUCCCUGCUCUCUGGAGUAAGGUCCUCCAUCACCAUGUCACAAAAGAAAACAGGCUGCUUGGUAGCUAAGGAAAACUGCUGACUUUAAACCUGAAAUAAGGCUCUAUCAUUUACACUAAUGAGCUCACUGGUGGGGACUUUGUAAAAUUUUAUGAUAAAAAGUAGCUGUAGUCAGUGUUUGAUAGAAUUUACUAUUUUACUUUUUUUGCUGAAGAUAGACAUAACUACUAAUCAUUUUCCCAUUCAAACCUAAAGAGAAAUAAGUGCAGGAAGAACUGUCCCAGUAGAAAUUCAAAGAUCUUGUAAGUAAUCCAUUAUUAUUAAUUUUUUUUAACCAUGGGUUGGUCUAAAUUCUUCUGAGAAAUGCUAUAGACAUUUUUAACUGGUUGAAUAGCAAAUAAGUUACUUAGAAGAAGCCCUUAAUUAAAUACUAAUAUUUCAGGAUUUUAAUUGUUUGUGGCUUAUGGUUCCAAGUUAACCUCCUAUAUCUGCUAGUCCUGUCAGGUUUGAUUUCUGAUGGAAGAGUGCCCUGGGAUGCACCCUGGGGUAGCCCUGUGAUAGUUUCUGAGCCAGGAUUCCACAUAUGCCCAAUAUGUGCAGUGAAUAAGGGGAGGUAUCUAACAGGCUUUGUUACUGUAGACUGUCAGAGCAGUAAACGACAAGGGCUAAGGAAAUCUCUCAGCUACUGUAGCUGGCAAAGACCUAAACCGUUCAAUUCUGAGCCAGAAUAAAUGAGUCUGGCUGGAGAGAGCAACUGUGCUAUAAAACUAGCAAAAAUGGAAGAAAACAAAGGGGUGAAAGCAAGCAAAGAGGAAUAAAGAUGUCUCCAGCUAAAGGACUGGAAAACUAACCCAGGUUGGCAUCCAUGUGAGCGAUGAAUGAAGUUACAGCAGAUUUUUUUCUCCCUCUCUGUCUUUAGGAUUUUUUUAUCUUCCUACUCUAUUUGAGGUGUUUAGCCUCCACACAGUCACUGGUUCAACACUUGAAAAAGAAGUCCAUGACAAGGAAAACAAACUGAGCUCCUGACCUUGGCAUCAUCACUCACUUUGGAAAUUUUUGUACCUGAAAGAAAAUCUGCUGAUAUUCCACGUGAGUAAUAAAUUAUCCCACAUCAUCAGUCAAUACAGCAACAGAGAUCUGUUGCUGUGCAUGCCAUAGGUAAAUGCAGCCGUAAAACAGACAUCUCAAGGUAAGACUGAAAUCCAAUGUUAAAAAAAAAUAUCUUGAUAGUGCUAUUCUAGACAUGGACAUUUACAAUUGUAUAAACCAGAAUGUUUAAUAUUUGUCUCAGGGAUGGGGUUUUCAAAUGUCCUUAGCAGUGAGUUAAUAUUCCUUCCCACUUCCAAAGUUGCCCUAUGUAAUACAUAUGUGAAAUCAGAAAUCAAACACUGUAUUGCAGGCGGGCAGUAAAAUUCAGCAGAUGAAAUUUAUUAUUAAUUUAUCUUAAUGAGCUGUGUUGUUCUUCAAAAUAUACAAGCCCAGUAUAAGGCCUGUGUAGCCCAAGGAUCCUUCAAGGUAGAUAAUUUGACACUAAUUUACUGCUGCAAUCCCCACUUGCUUAAGACUGUAUAACUCUUUCCCCUUUGACCUUCUGUUUGUAACUACCUGUAUCCAUCAAAAAUUCCCACUCCUGAGACUCAGGUUUGCCAAAGAUGUGAACUGCAAGAGUUGAAUUUUUAUUUCAACAUUUUAUCAAUUUUCGUAACAUUACAAAACACAUGAAGGCACAGGAAAAACACUAAGCUUAUAUUAUUUGAUAUUCUCUAGCAGAAGCGAUAUCUAAAAGUGAAAAUCAAAACUAUUUUUCUAUAGAAAAAAAAAGUGCAUCAUUAAUGUUGGGAAACAACCUGGUUUCAUUUGAUGAAAUAAAAUUACAGAAGUUUGAGACAGAAAUAUACACAAAUGAUUACCUGGCUGUUGUCAGCCACACACCUCAGAAAGCACAGGCACUCUCUGGUGUCCAUCCCUGGCCUGGUGCUGCUCUGCCCUGGCCCCAAACCUGUCUGUGCCAUUUGAUGUUUUUUCUCUGCUGAGUACAACCUGCACAGGCAGGCAAGAGGCACAGCAAAUCCUGGGCCUUUUUUAUUCUACAGUGUGGAGCAUUACAGAUAAUUCUGCUGGCUGGCACCCUCGCAGUGCAUCUGCUCCUGCUGUGCACUCUCUCAGUGAACUCAGCCUGCUCCUGAGAUGCCUCACUUGCUGUGGAAGCUGAAGGUGACACCAUGGGCAAAUCACCAUAAAUACAUGCAAACCUCUCUUACAACAGCAAAUCAGAUUGUUCUAGACAGAGCACAGUAUGGAUCAGCAAGAGCUGGUUCACUCUAAAUCUCAUUUUCACACAUCUUCAGACUUUGUACAGAAUCCCAGCAGAUGUUUGGGAAGACAAGUAUCUUAAGUUUAUGUGGGCAUAUAUAAACUCUUGAAUUGCUUUUUGCUGCUUAUAGUUCAUAAACUAAUACAGCAGUGAACAAACUGCAUUUUCAGAAUUGUGAACAAACUGCAUUUCAUAUAAGUUAUCCAGUUAUGGACCAGACCUUGCAUUUCUUAUUCAAGAAGGAUUAAAUCAAAAGGGAAGUAGUCUGUGAAGAGGUGAAUUUAUACACAGCAAGCUAAACUCUUGCUAAAUUAUUCUCUUGCAGGAAAUAGAAAGGUUUCCAGUAGAUUUCUCUAUACAUGUUUUCAGAGAAGCUUAUGCUUGUUCCCCUUAGAGACUUUCUUCAUGAGUGAAGCUGAAGUUAGAUGUGUAGUGAGACUGAGUUUUAAGGAUGGUUUUCCUAAAAUAGGAUUAAGGCUCACUGACACUGUAAUGGAGGCCAGGUAGUGCUGCUGCUUAUUGGCUAAACUAUGUUUUGGUUUCCACAUAUAAAAGUUCAGCAUCUAGGAGCUUUAAACUUGCUUCUUCAGAGGUAAAAAAAAUUGUUAUUUUAGUGUCUCCAUAGUUUUGUUUCUGGUACAAAAUAAGCAACCCUGUCAUGAUCUGAGCAGGAUAGUAACCAGUCCUGAAGUGGUGCUUCAGGGACUUAAGUAGGAUCAUUCCAUUUUUUUUUUCUGUCCAGAUUAUUUCCAAAUUGUUUGUUUGGGUUUUUUGGUGUUUUUGUUUUGUUUGGGGUUUUUUUUUGUUUCUUUAACCUGGGGUGAAACAUUAGGGGAGUUCUAUAAACUCAUAGUCUGCAGUCAAUUUGUCAAUAUUGAGGUCAGGGUGAGUUACCACAUAAUGGACAGUUCACAUAUUUUUACCACAUCCACAACAGUUUUUUCUUAAAAGCAAACACCAAAGAGCUCUGCUUGACCAAUAUAUCCAUUUCAGACCAACAUCUACAACAUCUAUUACCAUUUGUUAAUACUUUGACACCAUUUCCAGUGUAUCUCAAUGACCAUUGCCCUCUUGGAUCUCAAUGACAUUGACUAACACUGCAGUUUGUAAUUAGAUGGGGUAACAAUUCCUGGCCCUCUGUAAGCAUCUGGAUUUCAGAUUUCCACUCCUGGAUGGGGAGCUCUUAGCCACACAUCACCAAUUAUGCCAUGUGCUUAUGUAUCAGUCCCUACACCCUCCUGCUGAGCCCCUCUUCUUUGUGCUCAGUACGAGUCAGAGACUGUCACCACAGAGAGAAUCAACACAACUGCCUAGUCAGCUGCAUGUGACAUUUAAUGAAAAUGAAGUCGGGUCUAAUUUGCAUGGCAGGUGUUACUUUAUUACAGCAGAGCUGCAGAAGCUGGGUGCUACAGUGCUAGUCAGGUGUGCAGAAAUGAAAGUCACUGACAAUGAGGGUGUCUGGCACAGGAAUCCUGGCACCCCCUUGUCUGCCUGCCCACCUCCUGUGUGAGAUAAAGUGACACAUUUGUUCAUUUUUCCAGGUGCCCUGUUCUGGCUCUUUCUGCUAACUCCAUCCACAGAGUCAUUGGAGUACUCAAGGAGCCUGGGGGUAGGAGGCCCACCCAGCCUCCUGCCACGGGGUCACCACACCAAACAAUUCCAGCUCUGGCACUCUCCUGCCCUCAAACCCACAAACUGCACCUAAAGAGCUCUAUAGCACAAGAGAAUUGAUUUCUGUCAUGCACAAGAAGUGUAUUACAAGAGAAAUACAUGAAUAUUUUUUUAUGAGUCAUGUGUGUUGAAAGAACAUGUAUGUUUCUUUGAGUCAAGUGCUCAAAAAAAUUAAAAAGGCAGCAUCAUGCUCCUUCUGUUUCCAUUUCCCUGAGUAAUUUUGCCAAAAUGACAAGAAUGCAAAAUGCUCAUUUUCACUAGUUUUUAUUUGGUUUAGCCUUAUUACUACUCCUUAGAAAUAUAAAUUUUAUUUUAAAGUUUCUGAUUCUGAUUUCAGACUGAGUUAAGACUGUCGUAAAUCUUAAGCUCCUGUCUUGAAGUAAAACGUAACACACCUUCUAACAGGCUGUGGCUCCACCCACUCACUUUCUGCUUCUCAGGAGAAUAUUUGUUUCUAUUUUUUUAUCUCCCCAACUUCCUUCUGACCACUGUUCUUCCCCUAGAAUCAUCUUGCCACUACAUUGGUUUCCAGCCUGCCUCGCUGCUGAACAUCUAAAGCGCGGGGUGUUUGGACCCUCCCUGGGAGGCUCCUGAUGCCAUUGGCUCCCGCUACAUCCCGUCCCCUCAGAGCCAGCCAGUACCAACCCACGGGCACACUGAGACUUCACAGACUGUCUGAACAACUUUACAGACACACAUUGAACUUUGCAGGGCAGCUAUAUGGACAAAGUUUUAUUUAUGGCACUUUUCAGAGAGAGAGACCCCAAGUAAAAAAUCUUACGAAUCACACAAUUGGAACAGCACAAUAAAAUAAAGUAAAGCAUUUACCAAAAUUUAUAAUGAUUUGCACUGGAGCCAAGUUUUGGAUGACAUUCAGUUUCCCACAGAAGAUGCUAAAACUCCACAAAAGUUUUUAUCUCUGAAGUUUAACUUUGUAAACAGAUCUGCCAGUUAGAAAAUAACUCUGUUCCAGUCGUUUGUUUCUAAUCUCUUCAUUUACAAUCCCGGGUGAUGAUUUUUUGACAGCACAUCCAGAACGAA